UUAUCGGUAUCAUUAUCUGCAUCGGUAUAAAUAUCAGUAUCGUUAUCGGUAUCAUUAUCGGCAUCGGUAUAGAUAUCAGUAUCGUUAUCGGUAUCAUUAUCGGCAUCGGUAUAGAUAUCAGUAUCAUAUCAUUAUCGGUAUCAUUAUUGGUAUAGUUAUGGGUAUAGUUAACGGUAUCGUUAUCGGUAUAGUUAUUGUUCUUUAAUGCAGCAGGUUGGGUUUCUUCUGUACGGAGUGAAACUACUGCGCAGUGUGGAGUUUGAAGAGGCGUAUGGAACAGUUCCUCGCGCCAGUUGAUGUCAGAUCUUGAUCUUUCGUUCAUAACGUCAGUGACUUAUUCCAGACACGUAUCCGCUGCAUGCUAACACCACUGGAGUACAUUACACUGGAGAACUGCUGCUAAUGGAGCAUCUCAGUAUCAUCUCCAUCGACCCUGCACUCCUUUUCACUCCCAGGAGCCCAGUAUGCUCACGAUUCAUGCUCAGAAUGCAUGUCUGCUCGUUUAAUCACAGCACACACGUCACAGACAGAUAUGCUUCUGUCACAUGAUGCUUCAUUCAGGAAUGGAUCAGUGCACCAAAUCUUGAGCCCGUAGACGAGUAGAACAGAGCGAAUGCACAGUACUGCGGCUCUCGACCGAUGAUCUCAUUCUCAUUGACUCAUCACAUCUCGUUUAGUGUAAUAUGAGAGCUUGUGCGUGAUUUGAUUUGGGAAAGACUCUGGAUUCUCUGAACGCCGAGGGCUGGUUUUCUAUCUGGGCGUCAGAGACGUAUUGGAGAAAUGCAUUUCAUGAACCCAUUCAUUCCACUGCAUUGCUUUUGUUUUUAAUGUUCAUUCACUGUAUCGUAUUGUGAUUCCACUCGAGGCAUGUGUUAGUUUCUUAUUUUAUUUAGAAACCAAAUAUCUGAACUACUGAACCCCACUGAAAACAACUGAGACGAGUGAGUCCAUGAUGUUAGAAACACUUGUAAAACUCUAUGAAAAUGUCAAAGAUGUUCCAGAAACUGCAGCAUUGAAUCUGAACUCAAAGCGGCCAAACGUCAUGUGUUUGGAGACUAAACGAAAUCAGACGUCCGCUGCAGUGUGAUUAAAUAUUUCUAACAUUAACCUGCUGCCUCUGUUGGGAUCGUUUGUACGUGGCGCCUUGCUGGUCAAGUCUGGAUCGAUGUGAAGCACAGUGAGUGUGUUUUGUUUUGUGUGAUCUCCAGAGGACUAUCAUGAAUGUCACAAACUUCUGUUCUUAAAGCAGCUUGCCUUGUUUUUCUUUUUUAC
ensembl:lncRNA